UUCCGGUUGAUCCUGCCGGACCCGACUGCUAUUUGGGUGAGAAUAAGCCAUGCGAGUUGAAUGGGAUACCUAAAUUUCCCAUAGCAAAUUGCUCAGUAACACAUGAUCAACUUACCCUAUGGAGAAAAAUAACCUCGGGAAACUGAGGAUAAUGUUUCAUAGUUGAAUAGGCUUGGAAAAGUUUUUCAAUGAAAUGGAUAAAAAGAAUGGUUUUUAUUUGCCAUAGGAUAGGAUCGUGGUCGAUUAUGGUUGUUGGUGAGGUAAAGGCUCACCGAGCCGAUAAUCGAUAGGGGCCGUGAGAGCGGGAGCCCCGAGAUGGGUACUGAGACAACGACCCAGGCCUUACGAGGCGCAGCAGGCGCGGAACCUCCGCAAUACACGAAAGUGUGACGGGGUUACCCAAAGUGUUCAAUUUUGGACUGUGGUAGGUGAGUAAUGUCCCCUACUAGAAAGGAGAGGGCAAGGCUGGUGCCAGCCGCCGCGGUAAAACCAGCUCUUCAAGUGGUCGGGAUGAUUAUUGGGCUUAAAGUGUCCGUAGCCGGUUUAGUAAGUUCCUGGUAAAAUCGGGUAGCUUAACUAUCUGUAUGCUAGGAAUACUGCUAUACUAGAGGACGGGAGAGGUCUGAGGUACUACAGGGGUAGGGGUGAAAUCUUAUAAUCCUUGUAGGACCACCAGUGGCGAAGGCGUCAGACUGGAACGUGCCUGACGGUGAGGGACGAAAGCCAGGGGAGCGAACCGGAUUAGAUACCCGGGUAGUCCUGGCCGUAAACGAUGCAUACUAGGUGAUGGUACGGCCAUGAGCCGUAUCAGUGCCGUAGGGAAACCGUUAAGUGUGCCGCCCGGGAAGUACGGUCGCAAGGCUAAAACUUAAAGGAAUUGGCGGGGGAGCACCACAAGGGGUGAAGCCUGCGGUUCAAUUGGAUUCAACGCCGGGAAUCACUAGUGCGGC
rnacentral:rRNA from 1 species